GGGAGAGUGGCCGAGUGGUUAAAAGCGACAGACUGUAAAUCUGUUGAAGUUUUUCUACGCAGGUUCGAAUCCUGCCUCUCCCA
rfam:Spinacia oleracea cultivar SynViroflay scaffold47427.con0001.1, whole genome shotgun sequence.